rnacentral:rRNA from 1 species
UGAGGAAUAUUGGUCAAUGGGUGCAAGCCUGAACCAGCCAUCCCGCGUGAAGGACGACUGCCCUAUGGGUUGUAAACUUCUUUUGUAUAGGGAUAAACCUACCCUCGUGAGGGCAGCUGAAGGUACUAUACGAAUAAGCACCGGCUAACUCCGUGCCAGCAGCCGCGGUAAUACGGAGGGUGCAAGCGUUAUCCGGAUUUAUUGGGUUUAAAGGGUCCGUAGGCGGACUUAUAAGUCAGUGGUGAAAGCCUGUCGCUUAACGAUAGAACUGCCAUUGAUACUGUAAGUCUUGAGUAUAUUUGAGGUAGCUGGAAUAAGUAGUGUAGCGGUGAAAUGCAUAGAUAUUACUUAGAACACCGAUUGCGAAGGCAGGUUACCAAGAUAUAACUGACGCUGAGGGACGAAAGCGUGGGGA